rnacentral:tRNA from 1 species
AAACAAUUAACUCAAUCGGUAGAGUAUCUUGCUUACAACGAGAAGGUUAGCGGUUCGACCCCACUAUUGUUUA